UAACGCGUGGAUAACCUGUCUCACACAGGGGGAUAACAGUUGGAAACGACUGCUAAUACCGCAUAAGCGCACAGCACCGCAUGGUGCGGUGUGAAAAACUCCGGUGGUGUGAGAUGGAUCCGCGUCUGAUUAGCUAGUUGGCGGGGUAACGGCCCACCAAGGCGACGAUCAGUAGCCGGCCUGAGAGGGCGACCGGCCACAUUGGGACUGAGACACGGCCCAGACUCCUACGGGAGGCAGCAGUGGGGAAUAUUGCACAAUGGGGGAAACCCUGAUGCAGCGACGCCGCGUGAGCGAUGAAGUAUUUCGGUAUGUAAAGCUCUNUCAGCAGGGAAGAUAAUGACGGUACCUGACUAAGAAGCUCCGGCUAAAUACGUGCCAGCAGCCGCGGUAAUACGUAUGGAGCAAGCGUUAUCCGGAUUUACUGGGUGUAAAGGGAGCGUAGGCGGUCCUGCAAGUCUGAUGUGAAAGGCCGGGGCUCAACCCCGGGACUGCAUUGGAAACUGUAGGACUAGAGUGUCGGAGGGGUAAGUGGAAUUCCUAGUGUAGCGGUGAAAUGNGUAGAUNUUAGGAGGAACACCAGUGGCGAAGGCGGCUUACUGGACGACUACUGACGCUGAGGCUCGAAAGNGUGGGGAGNAAACAGGAUUAGAUACCCUGGUAGUCCACGCCGUAAACGAUGUNUACUAGGUGU
rnacentral:rRNA from 1 species